rnacentral:rRNA from 1 species
UACUCCUACGGGAGGCAGCAGUGGGGAAUAUUGCACAAUGGGCGCAAGCCUGAUGCAGCCAUGCCGCGUGUAUGAAGAAGGCCUUCGGGUUGUAAAGUACUUUCAGCGGGGAGGAAGGGAGUAAAGUUAAUACCUUUGCUCAUUGACGUUACCCGCAGAAGAAGCACCGGCUAACUCCGUGCCAGCAGCCGCGGUAAUACGGAGGGUGCAAGCGUUAAUCGGAAUUACUGGGCGUAAAGCGCACGCAGGCGGUUUGUUAAGUCAGAUGUGAAAUCCCCGGGCUCAACCUGGGAACUGCAUCUGAUACUGGCAAGCUUGAGUCUCGUAGAGGGGGGUAGAAUUCCAGGUGUAGCGGUGAAAUGCGUAGAGAUCUGGAGGAAUACCGGUGGCGAAGGCGGCCCCCUGGACGAAGACUGACGCUCAGGUGCGAAAGCGUGGGGAGCAAACAGAAUUAGAUACCCUGGUAGUCCACGCCGUAAACGAUGUCGACUUGGAGGUUGUGCCCUUGAGGCGUGGCUUCCGGAGCUAACGCGUUAAGUCGACCGCCUGGGGAGUACGGCCGCAAGGUUAAAACUCAAAUGAAUUGACGGA